UAGAUUUUAUAACAUAACCUAGAAAAUUCUGGUUCCGUGACCCGUAGGUGGCGUGAUGAAAUACCUCAAAUGGUUUUACACAGUUUGAAAAGAUGCGUUGGACAGGGAUUCCGAGGACCCGGACCAAUGUUUAAGAAAAGCAAUGACAAACAUUAAAAACAAAUUAUCAAAACAAAAACAUAAAUUUACGAACAAUAACUCUUAUUCCAUACAAAUUUUAACGAUUUAAUUUAAAUAAAAUAAAAAUAAAUAAACCAAAAAUAAAAUAAAAACAAGAAUUUCCGAAGUGAUUUCCCUAGAACGAUUCCCUUGCAAGAGAUUUCACAGGUAUUUCACAGGCUAAACUCUGGGACGUUCCCCUUGCAUGGGACAAGCCAUACAACAAAUAAGUAUAAGUAACAAUGGAAAUCCGAGAGGACUUCAAAAAAGUCUCCUUUGCAUUUCCCCUUGGAAAAAGCGGAAAUCCCAUACAAUUUUCUAUAAGGGGCGUCUCUUGUUCUUCUUCCGCGCAAGCGGACAGGCCCCUCCGGAAUCUCACGGGGAAGGGAAACUUUUUUCGGAGUUGAAGGGUAUAUUCACCACGCUGGCAACCAAUUAAAUCAAAUCACAUCCGCUUAAGGAGGCUUGUGCUGAAUGGCCAGUUGAGAUGUCAAUAUUCUUAUAGACUACUUCUUGCCCAUUAGUUUAUAUAUAUGGUAUGCAGUGCACGCGACAUUUAAAUCGUAUUCAAAUAAGUCGGCCUGUGUGUGAAACGUACCAAGCGGAUAUAUAUAUUUUUAUAAUUUAAUGCUAUUAAUGUACAGUGUGUACCCGAUAUGUGCGCAUACUACAUCUCCCUCUUUUUGAUA